CAAAGUUUAUACUCCCUUCCCUACCCUUCGAUCUCUCUCUCUUCUCCCCUUCUCCAUUCCAUUUUUCCCAAUCCCAAACCCUAGCUCGAUCGGCGCCCAAUUCCCGGCGAAUUAACGAAUUUACGGCGGGGAUCCCGGCUCCAUCGUCGCCGGUCCCCGUCCUCCUCGGACUUCCUUUUCUUUUCCCCGUCAGUUCGCCUUUCUCCCACAACUCGACUUCGCGUCGAACCUGGAGAGCAGCGACGACUGUCGCAAACUCACCGUUGCCUCCUCUCUUUCCGUCGAUUUCCGUGCUUCGACGAAAACCCGGUUGGGGAGGAAGGCGUCGCCUCUCCCGUCACUGUUUCUUGGUGAGCCGCCGCUCCGUCGUCGCCUUCGCGGCUUUCGGCGGCCUGCAUCAUCGACAUCCUCCGUCAGCCUUGGCGUCGAGGCCCCGUUUCUGCCGGGCAGCGAUCCAGCGUCAGCGUGGCGUCUUCGGCCGGUCAGCCGUCGUUGUCUCGCCUCAGUCCCGCGCCGUCGCCGGUGGCUUCCGGGCAUUUCCUUGGCCUCUGAGCUAAGUUUUCUCUAUCCUAGCUCAUUUAUGAUCCCCUAACUCGUGUCCCCUUUGGUCUGCCUAAUAUGUGAAGUUCGAAAUCUGUGUAGUUACUUUGGUCUUUGGUGAAGCUUAGGAUUCUAAUGUGUGGUGCUAUGUUUUGAAUAUCGAUUAGCAAUGUGUUAAAGUUGUAAGUUCUUGACUUUUAAGUGUGAUGGUGUGUUAGUGUGUUUACUUUAUCUUGCGGUUACACAUCGCGAUGGUCGAAGACUCAGUUUUUCCUAUAAGUUUGAGCACGUGAUGUGGUGUUCAAAGGCCUAGCAUGCUGUGCCUAAAUUCCUUCUCACGAAUGUGUAUGAUGCACUCUAUAAAUUUUGGUAAGAUUGUUGGUUACCUACUGGAAAUGGGGCUGUGAGGGUUGGGGGAUCUCCGGCCGAGCUUAGAAUGGGCUCUCUGCUUUGCUCUGCUGAUGAAAUGUUGUGGAAAUGUGGAGGGGAUUUGGGUGAGCAUGGAGGGGUUCUUUUGGGAUUAUGUUUUGGCCGCUGCCCUCAGGACUUACCCUGCUGUCUCUUUAAUUGCAUUUGGCUCAUUCAUGGAGUUUGUUUCUUGUGGCAGGUGUACAAGAAAGGGUAGAGAUUUUGUACUACAAUCCUCGGCAGUGGCAGGUGCACAACAAAGCUGUGGCUGUGGCUGUGGCUGUUAGCCAACCCUGCAGGCUGCUGCGGUCAAAACUGAUAUGGCUGCUUCAUGGCAUCCUUCGGUUGGGCUAGGGAGUGCAGAGGUUGUUGCCAUCUAUCUUCCCUAAUUUGGCAUUCUCUUGGUCCUCUUUAAAAAUGAUGUACCAGUUGGCUGGAAAUCGGCCUCUCGUGACAUGGUUCGGUGCCUCUGGCCGACGGUCGAUCAAGACACGGCGUGGGCGUAACUUGGCUCAGUAUGAGGGUUACAUGUUUUUAUUCUAAUUGUGUACCCUAUUUGUAACAGUCACUUUUGUGCAUAUGUAAUAGACUUAGUUAGAAACGAACUCUAUGUUCUUAGUUUUCUUUCUUGGUACGAUUUUGAAAUGUUUAAUUUGGGAAGCAGUAAAGAGUGCGCAAAAUUCUUUUUA